rnacentral:lncRNA from 10 species
CGAUGGACCCGGAAAGGGCGGAGGAGGGAAGGCUUUAGUGUAGAAAACCAACCAAACCAAACCCAAACCAACAAAACCCUUCACCUAAAACCCGAAGCUACCCAGACCUCAGAAUUUUGGAUGUCUAUUAAGUUGGCGGGUCAGUAAUGCAAGAGAACCCUUCCACCGGAUCUGACGCACUAAGAAGGCUAGACAGUUUGAAAAGAGCCCCUAUCAAAGCAACCUGAAUUCUGCUAAAAUUGAAGCAAGAACAAACAUGGAGUUUCUGGUGAAGAAUGAUGAAAUUGAUGCCUUAUGAAAAGUUUAUGAGGACAAUGCCCCAAAUAAAUCAUCAGUCUACAAAUGCAUAACUCAUUUUAAGAAACGAGGAGAUGGACAAGCAUGGUGGCUCAUGCCUGUAAUCCCAGCACUUUGGGAGGAUUAUGCACGAGCCUCUCUCAAGCCCAGGAGUUUGAGACCAGCCUGGGCAACAUAGCGAGACCUCAUCUCACUAAAAAUUUAAAAAUUAGCCAAGUGUGGUGGUGCACACCUGUAGUUCCAGCGUCUUGGGAGGCUGAGGCAGGAGGAUUGCUUGAGCCCAGCAGUUCAAGGUUGCAGUGAGCUAUGAUUGCACCACCGUGCUGCAGCCUGGGUAACAGAGUGAGAACCUGUCUCAACAAAAAGGGGAGGAGAUGAUGUUGAAGAUACAGAUAGUGGCAGACUAUCCACAUCACUUUGUGAGGAAAAAAAUUCAUCUUGUUUGUGCCCUAAUUGAAGAGAACUGACAACAGCAGAAACAAUAGCCAACACCAUAGACAUCUCAGUUGGGUCAGUUUACACAAUUCUGACUGAAAAGUUACAGUGGAGCAAACUUUCAACUCGAUAGGUAACAAAACUGUUGUACCCAGAUCUGCUACAGUUAAGAGGAGAGCUUUCAGUGGAAAGUUUAAACAAGUGGGGUCAAGAUCCUUGAUAUGGCUUUGUGACCUCACCCAAAUCUCAUCUUGAAUUGUAAUCCCCAGCUAUUGAGGGAAAGACCUGGUGGGAGGUGAUUGGAUCAUGGGGGCAGUUUCCCCCAUGCUGUCCUCAUGAUAGUGAGGGUGUUCCCAUGAGAUCUGAUGGUUUUAUAAGUAGCAGUUUCCUGUGGGCUUUUCACUUACUGUUUUUCCUGCCACCAUGUGAAGAAGGUCUUUGCUUCCCCUUUGCCUUCCACCAUGAUUAUAAGUUUCCUGAGGCCUCCUGGGACAUGCGGAAUUGUGACUCAAUUAAACCUGUUUUCUUUAUAAAUUACCCAGUCCCCAGCAGUUCUUUAUAGAAGUGUGAAAACAGACUAAUACAAUCCUGAAGCAUUUCAUCAAAGAAUUGUAACAGGAGAUGAAAUAUGGCUUCACCAGUAUGAUCCUGAAGAAAAAGCACAAUCAAAGCAAUGUCUAUCAAGCGGAGGAAGUCAAAGCAAAGCAGACCAGUCAAGAGCAAAGGUAAUGGCAACAGUUUUUUUAGGCUACUCAAGGUAUUUUCCUUGUUGACUUUGUGGAGGACCAAAGAAUGAUAACAUUAAUUUGCCUAUUGAGAGUGUUUUGGGAAAGUUAGCCAAAGCUUUAGCAGAAAAACACCUGAGAAAGCUUCACUAGACAGUUCUUCUCCACCGUGACAAUGCUUUUGCUCAUGUCUCUCAUCAUACAAGAACAAUUUUGUUAGAGUUUCAAUGGGAAAUCUUUAGGCAUCCACCUGAUUUGGCUCCUUCUGACUUCUUUUUGUUUCUUAAUCUUAAGAAAUUCUGUCAAGGGCACCCAGUUUUCUUCAGUUAAUAAUGUAAAAAGGACUGUAUUGAUGUGGUUAAGUCUCCAGGACCCUCAGUUCUUUAGGGUGUACUAAAUGGCUGGUGUCAUUUCUUACGAAAGUGUCUUGAAGUUGG